rnacentral:lncRNA from 1 species
AAAAAAAGAGUAUACACCACCUCCAGAGAAGGUUCAUUCUCUUCCAUUACAAAAAGCAUGAUGGUCUCAACCCCUAGCAUUUCCUCUUUAAUAAGAGCAAUUUGUACAUAAGCUGAAAAAAUGUCAUUAAAUGCACUUCCUGUAGUCAUGCAGUAAUUUAGUUGCCAUGGUAAUCUUGGGUAAACUUGAAAAAUACUUUGGAUGGGCCAUUUCUAAUGCUUGUUUCUAAAACUCUAGAACUUUUUAAAGUCCUGGAGGAUAAAGAGACUGAAAAGGCUUUUCUCUUUAAUGCCUAACUGUGGACUCAGCAAAUGUAGCACAGCUCUUCACAAUAUGACAGCCAUUACGCUCCUGACAAUGAUCACUCCAUCACUUCCCACCUCAAGACAGGCUUAUACGUUAUCCCUAUCUUCCCGAUUCAGUGAAAGCACUAACUUUGGACUCUGUGGCAGUGAAGGGAAUUAAUUUAUGAAAUAAGCACUUUCCCAUAAUAGCCCCCAAAGCUUUUCACAAUUGAACACUGUCAUUUGGGCCUACCAUCAAUAAUAGAGUGACAAAGUACACUCUGAUGCAGUUUAACAAAGGAACAGCAGACAACUCGGGACUUCAACACAUUCAGGCUGCUGCCCAAGAAAGCCAUUGUUGGCUGAGAGGCUCUGAUGAUUCACAGCUCUCACUCACUCUGUUCAUCAACCAUGUCAGGGCUCAAAAGGUUUCAGGAAACACUGUCAGGAAGACUUUUUGGCUAACAGCUACAUUUGACAACUGACCUUUAAUCUUUAUUUCACAUUAUCAUCCUAUCAUUAGCCAAGGAUAAUACAUGAGCAUUUUUCAAAUAUGAUUUCAUGGACUGAAGAUUUUCUAAAGACUUUUCAUCCAAAGAAAGACACUAUUAUUAUUAGCUUCACCAGACUCUGACUAUAUCCUGGAUUUCUUAAAAGGUCUCAAUUAAGUAAAAUUAAUGAUUUCAUUAGAGUUGAGUAAGCAGUCACACACUGUUUCCUUCUUUUUGUAGAGGCUCUUUUGGCCACAUCAAAAUACGAUAACACAAACUAAAGCAGCACAGGCUGCACGAGAGAAAAAGCCCUGACCUGGAAGACAAGAGUCUGCUUUGACCUUCAGCAGACCAUUUCAUAUCACUUUGUCUAUUGCUUCAUCUGUAAUAUGUGAGGAUUGAACUGAAAAGGAGGGCAUGUGGCUCCGGUCAGUGUAGCUGGAGCAGAGGAAGAAGUGAAAUAUGAGCAAGAUGAGUUUUGGACAAGUAGGCAGGGGCCAGACCAUGCCCUGCAGGUCUCGUCAAAGAUUCUGAUAUUUGCCCUAAGAGAAGUAGGAUUUAACCCACUGAAUGACUUAAGCAAGGGAGUAAUAUGCUAUGAUCUCCAAUACUUUGAAGACCAGAGCAGAGACAUGGAGACCAGUCAGUACACUACUUCAGUAGCCCAGAUGCGGGAGAGAAUAUUUGACCUUAGAUUUGUCCGCCUGCAUCUUUCUCCUGACGCCAACCUCAGUUCCUCCUCUGACUGCCUCUCUCCAUCUGUAUUGCAAAACACCAAACUCUCUGCCAAAGAACACAUCCAGGUGUGGCCAUGUGACUGAGCUCUACUCAGUGAGAACUGUUGUGGCACGUUCUGGACGAUGCCUCAGUGAGGCGAUGCGCAUCUUUUGCCUUUCCUUUGUCUCCUGGGAAGUGAUUUUGAGGAUAGAAGGUAUGCGCUGAGGAUGAUGGGACAGAAUCAUGAAGCCUCCAUCCAAGACUUCGCUCCUUCCUAUGGAUUUCUUUUAUGUGGGAGAAUAAAUAAUUGUGUGGUU